rnacentral:rRNA from 1 species
GACGAACGCUGGCGGCGUGCUUAACACAUGCAAGUCGAACGAAGUGGCGAACGGGUGAGUAAUACGUGAGUAACCUGCCCUCCUUUUUGGGAUAAGCCUUGGAAACGGGGUCUAAUACCGAAUAAGGGGGAUGGGCUCGCGGCCUAUCAGCUUGUUGGUGGGGUGAUGGCCUACCAAGGCGACGAUCCGUAACUGGUCUGAGAGGAUGAUCAGUCACACUGGAACUGAGACACGGCCCAGACUCCUACGGGAGGCAGCAGUGGGGAAUCUUCCGCAAUGGACGAAAGUCUGACGGAGCAACGCCGCGUGAGUGAUGACGGCCUUCGGGUUGUAAAGCUCUGUUAAUCGGGACGCGGUACCGGAAUAGAAAGCCACGGCUAACUACGUGCCAGCCGCCGCGGUAAUUC